UUCGAAAUUUUUAAGUUCUGGUAC
rnacentral:siRNA from 1 species